AGAGACAGCAGUAGCCGCGGUAAUACAGAGGGUGCGAGCGUUAAUCGGAUUUACUGGGCGUAAAGCGUGCGUAGGCGGCUUCUUAAGUCGGAUGUGAAAUCCCUGAGCUUAACUUAGGAAUUGCAUUCGAUACUGGGAAGCUAGAGUAUGGGAGAGGAUGGUAUAAUUCCAGGUGUAGCGGUGAAAUGCGUAGAGAUCUGGAGGAAUACCGAUGGCGAAGGCAGCCAUCUGGCCUAAUACUGACGCUGAGGUACGAAAGCAUGGGGAGCAAACAGGAUUAGAUACCCCUGUAGUCCCUGUCUCUUAUAC
rnacentral:rRNA from 1 species